GGAUGAAAAUAGUUUGAGCACAAAGAUUUACAAUGGUAGCUGUCAACCACUAGUAGGUGCGAUGAAAACUUCAGCCCACAGGGUAUUUGAAAGAGAUUUGAUUCAGUUGCCUUCAAAGUUGCGUGAAAGGGUGUAUGCACUUCCUGGGAUUAUGCAAGCGUCACGAGCGGAUUCAACUAUAAACAAAUAUUGUAACAGUUUCCUGAGAUUUAAGAAGUGGGCAAAAGAACAAGGAAUCGAGGAAAGUGAAUUAUUUCCUUCAAAACCUUUACAUGUAUCUAUUUAUUUAGCAUGCUUGGUUCAACGGCAAACUCUCCAUCCCCUAUUGUUGACGCAUUCUAUGGAAUCAAAUGGGCUCAUGAUCUUGUGGGAUUCAAUUCUCCGACUGACAAUCAGUUUGUUAAAAACAUUAUGGAAGGUGGGAAACGUAUAGUGGCAAAACCUGUUCAAAAGAAAGAACCAAUAACUGUUGAAAAUUUACGUUGUAUGUAUUUGAAACUGUUUGAAUGUAAUAAUCUUUAUAAUCAAAGAAUCAUUUGUAUGGUCUUGUUGGCAUUCGCUGGAUUUUUACGUAGCAGCGAACUCAUAAAUAUCAAGAGAUCUGAUAUUCAAUUUUUACCUGAUCAUAUUGAAAUAUUCAUCGAGUCUAGUAAGACUGAUAUCUACAGAGACGGUACUAGAGUUGUUAUAGCAAGAACAUUUUCAUAUAUGUGUCCUGUUUCUAAAUUUGAAUUGUAUCUUCGUUUAGCUGGGAUUCAAGACGAUUCAGAGGAAUAUGUAUUUUGUGCUAUUUCGAAAUCGGGAAGUGGUUACCGGUUGCGUAAUCGUGAAAAGCCUCUGUCUUACACCAGGGUUCGUGAAUUAUUCAUCGAAGCAUUUACAGGAAUUGUAGAUAACAUCAAAGUUUAUGGACUUCACAGUUUGCGGUCAGGUGGAGCGACUGCGUCGGCAGUGAGGGGAAUUCCGGACAGGAUAUUCAAGAGACAUGGACGUUGGCGUUCGGAAUCUGCUAAGGAUGGAUAUGUCCAGGAUCCGCUUAGUGAACGUUUGAGUGUUUCCAAAAAACUUGAAUUAUAAUAGUUGUAAUCAUGUUGUUUAUUGAUCAUAUUGUAUCUUUUUGUAUUAAUUUUUCUGAAUAUAUAUGAAGUUGGAUUACGUUAUAACAAUAUAUCCUAUAUCAGUAGUAGCAUUAGUUCCCCGUUCUUUAUAUUUACAUAGCUGCAGCGUGUCGUUGCUAAUUCCAUACAAUGUGUUAUUUACUAUAUAGUAUCAUAGUAUUCAGCUUUCAUUUGGAAAGUAAUGAAUGGAUUUAAAGGAGAAAUAUGAUUUCUUUCGUUUGAGGGACGAAUUAGACAGAAAUCAAUUUCUACUUGGUAUAAUAAUGAAUUAAUUAUCCGGAUAUAUACGGUUUUCAUUCGAAUACCUGUUUGUGUCACCUGGUUCUUAAGAACCGGUUUAUUAGCAAGGCUAUAUAAAGAAUUGCUCAGGUGUUAAAUACCAGUUUAGGACGACACGUACAGCGGAAAGUUAAAAUUUUCAUAAUUGUUUUAUUAAAUAGAUAAAUCAUGUGAUCCAACUUUAUGCCAUAAUUAUGUGUGUGUACAUUUAAUAUGCCAAAUAUUAAAUAGCUGCAGCGUGUCGUUGCUAAUUCCACAC
rnacentral:sRNA from 1 species